UAGCGAAAAUAAGGAAAUGAGGGAGAAGCAUUCCUCUUAAAAAAGAAAGCCAAUCCCAUCAAAACCAGUACCCCCUACAGAGCACUAUAUGAAAACUUGCAAAGAAAACUGUAUCUCAGACAUGGCUCAAAAAAAUAAUGAAGUUUUAUUAAUAGUAAAUAAACAUUAAAAUAUCUAUAAAUACACCAGACUGCUUAACCUAUAACUAAAAAUGGAUAAAUACUCAUGGAUACAAAACAGCUAUGCUCAAAAAAGCUUGUAACAAAGUAAACUUGAUAACUUGUAAGUAGCUCACUCUAAUAACAGAGUAGCUAGUAGAAAAUGUUGCAACAUAGACAGCAAAAACAGCAGUGGAUCUCCAAUACUCAUAGUAUAAUGGGAAAUAGCUGUUGUAAACCCAAAUUAAUCCAAAUGUAAUAGAGUCAUGGUCAUAUAUAUAUGAAAAAACAGUGUUCCCUCUAUAUACCUACUUACUAUGCCUAAAGUACUUAAAGAUCCUAUUGACUGAAUACAAUGAUCGCUCAAAUUGGAUUAGGACUAUAUGUACCAAAGGGUAAGUAAAUCGAAAGGACAGAAAGAGACAGAUAAUUGAAAUUAAAGUAAGAAGUAAUAUAGAGGAUUCUCACAACUCCAUAUAGUUGUAUGUACAAAAUGAGACUCAGCCGGCCAAA